rnacentral:rRNA from 1 species
AACGCUGGCGGCGCGCUUAACACAUGCAAGUCGAGCGAGAACCAGGACUUCGGUCUUGGGGACAGCGGCGAACGGGUGAGUAACACGUGGGUAAUCUGCCCUCGGUUGUGGGAUAGCCCGGGGAAACUCGGAUUACUACCGGAUAGCCUCUCUGGCCCUCGGGUCGGGGACAAAAGGUAGCUUCGGCCUCCGACUGAGGACGGGCCCGCGGCGGAUUAGCUUGUUGGCGGGGUAACGGCCCACCAAGGCGACGAUCCGUAGCUGGUCUGAGAGGACGAUCAGCCACACUGGGACUGAGACACGGUCCAGACUCGUACGGGAGGCAGCAGUGGGGAAUCUUGCACAAUGGGCGAAAGCCUGAUGCAGCAACGCCGCGUGAGUGAAGAAGGUCUUUGGAUUGUAAAGCUCUUUCGGCUGGGAAGAGGGGUUCUUCAAUUAAGACGUGAAGAAUCUGACGGUACCAGCAUAAGAAGCACUGGCUAAUUCCGUGCCAGCAGCCGCCGUAAGAC